rnacentral:snRNA from 1 species
UAAUGUGAGGGCUAUCUGGCUGCAGCAUCUGUCACCCCAUUGAUGGCCAGAAUUGAUUGGGCUGAUCUGACUGGCUAGAAAGGUGUCCCCUUCCUCCCUCACUACUUCAUGUGCAUCUUUCUCAAAGCAUUCCACAAAUAGAAAUGGACUGUUUAUCAGUCAAGAGUCUAUGAGUAGCUGUACUCCCCUGCUCAACCUCCAAACAGGCUCUCAAAAUCACCUCUCUAGGCCAGAGUGUAGAACAGCAAUUUGCCUUGCACAUGGCCGACCCAGGUUCAAU